rnacentral:rRNA from 1 species
GACGAACGCUGGCGGCGUGCUUAACACAUGCAAGUCGAACGGAAAGGCCCUGCUUUUGUGGGGUGCUCGAGUGGCGAACGGGUGAGUAACACGUGAGUAACCUGCUCUUGACUUUGGUAUAACUUCAGGAAACUGGGGCUAAUACCGGAUAGGAGCUCCUGCUGCAUGGUGGGGGUUGGAAAGUUUCGGCGGUUGGGGAUGGACUCGCGGCUUAUCAGCUUGUUGGUUGGGUAGUGGCUUACCAAGGCUUUGACGGGUAGCCGGCCUGAGAGGGUGACCGGCCACAAGGGGACUGAGAGACGGACCAGACGCCUACGGGGGGCAGCAGGGGGGAAUAUUGCACAAUGGGCGGAAGCCUGAUGCAGCAACGCCGCGUGCGGGAUGACGGCCUUCGGGUUGUAAACCGCUUUCGCCUGUGACGAAGCGUGAGUGACGGUAAUGGGUAAAGAAGCACCGGCUAACUACGUG